ACCAGCACCGGUCCCCGAACCAGAGGUUUGGCGACCCCUGGCUUACAGGCAGAAGUGACCAACUUAGAAGAAAGAUAAAAACAAAACAGAGAAACUGUGUCACUGAUGAGAUUCAGAAUAACUGACGGGGUUGUGUUUAUAUGACUCUGUGGUUUAUUGUUUUGAAAAUUCCUGCAUGAAUUAUCUCGAAGUUCUAGAUGUUUUUUUUUUUUUUGGUUUUUUUGGUUUUUUUUUUUCCUUGGCCACAGAGUCGGAUCCUGGCUGGAGGUUCUGCUGGACGAGUGUUUCCAGGAUGUUCUCUGUCUCUCUGUCCUAUCAGGUUCACAGAACCGUGGGCUCAGAACUGCGGCGCGGCUUCAACACAACAUCCGCGGUGACGUGACAUCAGUCUGUUGAUGCAGGGAGGCGCGGUGCGGAAGGAGUUAAUCAGAUGUGGUGGAAGAGUGCGCUGAGCUGAGCUGAGGAUGGAUCCUCCUGCUGCUCCUCACAGACGCUGACCACAGGGAACACAGGUACCGAUCUUCUCCAGGUGGACCAUGGUCGAACUUGUUGAUCCUUAGGCUCCGACGGUGGCGCGGGAUGAGGAGCGGCGGAGCGGGGAGUUAGACUGAAGAUUUCUCUGCCAUGUCGGAGGCAGAGGAGGGGGCCAUGGAUUGGCUCAGACCCUGGCAAUAGUAAACCAAUAACGGCGCCUCCUCAAGAAGAAAAAAAAAAAAAAAAACAACAUCUCGGUUUGUGCCAGCGGACUGAUUGAUCCUCCACAGAGCAGAACGCACCGGUCUGAGUCGGUGCACGAUGACAACAAUUUACUACGUAAUAGGAGAAACCAGGACCUGCUGCGGUCCAUAGUUCUGGAUGUUUGCCUGCUCCUUUCAAAAAGUCAACAUGGAGAAAUCCUUGGCAGAGUUCAAUAAAACCGGCUCCCGUUCCACGGCCUCGCUGCCGCCCGAGCCGGUGGACAUCGUCCGCAGCAGGACGUGUUUCCGCAGAGUCAGGCUGAACGUCGGGGGCCUCCCGCACGAAGUCCUGUGGAGGACGCUGGACCGGCUACCGAGGACGCGCCUGGGGAAGUUGAGGGACUGCAAUAACCACGAAACCCUGAUGGAAGUGUGCGACGACUACAACCUGGAGGAGAACGAGUUCUUCUUCGACCGACAUCCGGGGGCGUUCACCUCCAUCCUCAACUUCUACCGCACGGGGAAGCUGCACAUGAUGGAGGAGAUGUGCGCCCUGUCGUUCAGUCAAGAGCUGGACUACUGGGGCAUCGACGAGAUCUACCUGGAGUCCUGCUGUCAGGCCAGGUACCACCAGAAGAAGGAGCAGAUGAACGAGGAGCUGAAGAGGGAGGCGGACAACCUCAAAGACCGGGAGGGGGAGGAGUUUGACAACACGUGCUGCGCCGAGAAGAGGAAAAAACUUUGGGAUCUCCUGGAGAAGCCCAGCUCGUCUGUCGCAGCAAAGAUCCUGGCCAUCAUCUCCAUCCUCUUCAUCGUGCUCUCCACCAUCGCCUUGUCUCUGAACACCCUCCCUGAGCUGCAGGGCACUGACGAGUUUGGCCAGUCCACUGAUAAUCCGCAACUCGCCCAUGUGGAAGCUGUGUGCAUUGCGUGGUUUACCAUGGAGUACCUGCUUCGAUUCCUCUCAUCGCCCAACAAGUGGAAGUUCUUCAAAGGCCCUCUGAACGUCAUCGAUCUGCUGGCCAUCCUGCCCUACUAUAUUACCAUCUUCCUCACAGAGUCCAACAAGAGCGUGCUGCAAUUUCAGAACGUCCGCCGUGUGGUACAGAUAUUCCGGAUCAUGCGUAUCUUGCGUAUUCUAAAGUUGGCGCGUCACUCCACGGGGCUCCAGUCUCUGGGCUUCACCUUGAGGAGGAGUUACAACGAGCUGGGCCUGCUCAUCCUCUUCCUCGCCAUGGGCAUCAUGAUCUUCUCCAGUCUGGUGUUCUUUGCCGAAAAGGACGAGGACGACACGAAGUUUAAAAGCAUUCCAGCGUCUUUCUGGUGGGCGACCAUUACCAUGACAACCGUUGGCUACGGAGACAUUUACCCCAAAACCCUUUUAGGAAAGAUUGUUGGGGGGUUGUGUUGUAUAGCUGGAGUCCUGGUGAUCGCACUGCCCAUUCCCAUUAUUGUCAACAACUUCUCCGAAUUCUACAAGGAGCAGAAACGGCAGGAGAAAGCACUUAAAAGAAGAGAGGCUCUGGAGAGAGCGAAACGAAACGGCAGCAUUGUCUCAAUGAACUUGAAGGAGGCAUUUGCUCGUAGCGCAGAACUGAUGGACGUGGUGGUGGAUAAAACCGAGAGGCCUCAUGACAACCACCUGUCUCCCAAUCGUUGGAAAUGGACCUCCAAGAGGGCGGCGUCAGAGACCAGCUCCAAUCGUUCCUUCAACCCCCAUGAACUAGGUUCCCCCAACGAGGCUCGAGCUACAAGUCCCCAAAGGCUAAAUGCACAGAACCUGGAGGAGAUGUACAACCAGAUGGCCAAGACACAGUCACAGCCCAACCUCAACGCUAAAGACAGAGGCUCCAGAGUCAGCCGACAAAGAGACGAGAUAGAACUGGGUGCCAUUCAAGACCACGGGUUACCAGUGUUAGGUACCAGAGAGGCAGUGGGAGACAUGAAGAGUUUGUCCAGCAUCGACAGCUACAUCAGCUGUGCUACAGACUUCCAGGAAAAUACACGUUUUCAGCACAGUCCUGCAGUGGACCUGGUUCUUCUGGAAACCAAACGACUGACCCACAGCACAGCUAUGGCUUUAUCUCAUCACGCCAGCGCAAAAACAGGCCAACAAAUCACGAGAGAGUGCGAGUCCAUGCUGACGCCGUCCGUCAUGAAAACCUCGUGCUCAGAGAAUGCGAGGAAGUACUUCUUUUCUGGAAACCCGUCCAAAAGCCUUAGGGUAGGUAAAGUAGGCUGCCGCAGUGAGGGAGAGUCCGGGCGCUCCCCCCUCUCCGACAGCUCCGUCCCGUCCGACCACUCUUUGUUAAGUCCUGAAGUGUCUAUCUAUACCACUGCCAGCAGCAGGACCCCACCAAAGUCACCAGAAAGCACUACCUUGGCCCCAAGUGUCUUUACCUUCCACGACUCCUCCAUUAGCAAGUACAUCGACGCUGACACCGACGACGACGAGCACCUACGUGACAUCUCCGAAGCCAGUCUCUCAGACCGCCUGUUGGCGGGGUCCAGUCCCAAACACGGCAUCAACAUCAACUACCAGAGGGGGAACAACCAUUUAGAAGCCGCCCAAAAACUGCUGGGACAGAACUGCUUGUUCCCCCUAGAGGGGAUUCGUGGGGUGGCUCACGAGAAUCACGUCAGUCAUGAAGUGGCUCACAGACCAAAGGUUGACAGAGGACGUCAAAACACGUUGGACAAAAACCACUGAAGGACAUGUGGAGCAGGAGGGAAGACGACGGUCAGGGUGUUUUUACUAGAGACACAGGACAGACGUAGGAGACGUGAGGGUUUUCAUAACGUUUUACAGACGACCUAAGCAUGCUGUUGGGCGAUAGGCUCAAACUAACAUGUACGGUGAAUACUCUGGGAGAAUGUCACUGCCCCUCCUUCAGCUCAUUCCUAUCGGCAGUAUUCCAUAACCACAAAACAAAGGAGCACUCACAGGUAGCCGACGGAUCUGGUUCCAGAUCCCCGUGGACGGAGAGUUAUCGGAUUAUGUAUGUUUUGUGGUUGAGAACCGCUGUGUUAAUGUGGUCUUAACACCAGUAGGUGUCAGCGUAGUGUGUUAGAGACGGAAAAAAAAAACAGCUGCUCACUGUCCCAUUAGAGUUCCAUUUUAUGUUGUAGUCUUGGAGAUACAGGAGAGGAACUUAAAGCCUAUAAGCUACUGACUCGUGCCCUCCAUCCCUAAACCCUGGCCUUAGUCAUCGACACGUGUAGGGGUGUGUCUGUGGGUGAGUGUAGGGGUGUGUCUGUGGGUGAGUGUAGGGGUGUGUCUGUUGAUGUUCAAUAAUGUGUGCACACUCACUGUCGUCUCUAACCCCAUUUAUUUUUAUAUACCACAGUUAAGAGAACGGUCUCGUUAUAUAUGCACGUACGUGAUUGGCUAAUCUGCUGCGUCUUCACCGUUAGGACGAAUCACCUCGAGGGUAUUUUUUUGUCGCUCGAUCACACUGCGGUGGUGGCAGUAGUGAGCACCAAACCAGGACGCGAAACAAUUUACGGUUUUAAUCUCUUCAAUAUGAAUGUUGUUUUUAUUUUGGCCCCAGGGGGCGCUGCAGAUAGUUUCAGUUAAUGCUAACAUUUAUGACGAGCACAAGUGGCUGACAGAAUGAACGGUCACUGAAUGUCCAUCACCCGUUGGCCUUUCUAUUAUCAACGUAACAACAGCUAAAAAAAAAACGGCACAAGAGUUUCAGUCAAACCAAAAUAUAAAAAAACGCACCGAAUCAUAGAGCGUAAAUAGAAAAUGGACGUAGCUAGUGUUUACAAAUGGUAGUUGCCAGGGAUUGGUCCAGAGAAUGACGUGCGUCAGUCUUGGUUCUCCGUAUGAAGGAAGAGAAGCUAGCUUUGAUAUGAUGUCACAGCUUGCGUGUGCAGCCAUAGGACGAUGAGCUCCGGUCCAAAUACACGGAGGAAAAAGAACGCAGGAUUGUUCUACGAUGAUUCGGUGUAAUGAUCAACUCCGGUGUCGGAGAAGAGUCCCAGCAACUGUGACUCACAAACGACAGAUACUUCAGAGUUUAUUAUUUAAAAAAAAAAAAAGUCUCAGAUCAUUUUGCUAAAAGCUCAUAAAUCUGUUCAAAAAACGACAACUUAAAACUGUCAAAUCAUCACGACGACCAGAGGCGGUGAUCAAGAUCACGAAACAUCGUCACCAGACAUUUAUUACCAAACACUGUUCCCUUUAAGGCGUUCACCACAGCAGUGAACAAGAUUCAGGUUAAAACACAGAUCAUUAACAACGUCUGGGCAGGAAAACCCAGGAAUGUUGCUCCGAUACAAAGACUGGAAGAAGUUUCUGACUUAAGUUUUAGUGAAAGAUUAUUCUUUGUCAAUAAUCGCGCUUCGACUGUAAUCUUUUUUUUUUCCAAAUGAUCAGAUAUCCAUUUCCCCGGCCCCCAAAGCCACGGUGGCACAUCAGCGACGUCUACUUCGACUUCGUCCAUUUCUUACGUACGGUCAAUGCACUAAAAUAUAUACAGGAAGGAUCGACUUGACUAUAAAUACGACGUAAUGUGAGAAGUGAAGAAAGUCCUGCACAAGCACAAACUCACACCCACAGCUGAUACAGUACAAACUAUUAUGAAAGAGGAUCUUCAGGAUACACAUAAAAUAAAACAAAAAAAACUUGGUUUCCAUGGCGACUGAAACUGCUCUCCGAGGCUGGAGGCAGCAGUUCAGCAACAUUUAUUUAACGAAAGUCAUCGGCUCUGAUUGCACGUUCACACAAGAGCACACGCAUUAACACACACACACACACACA